rnacentral:rRNA from 1 species
UGGCGGCAGGCCUAACACAUGCAAGUCGAGCGGUAACAUUUCUAGCUUGCUAGAAGAUGACGAGCGGCGGACGGGUGAGUAACGCGUAGAAAUCUACCUAGUAGUGGGGGAUAGCCCAGAGAAAUUUGGAUUAAUACCGCAUACGCCCUACGGGGAAAGCGGGGGAUCUUCGGACCUCGUGCUAUUAGAUGAGUCUGCGUCGGAUUAGCUUGUUGGUGAGGUAAUGGCUCACCAAGGCGACGAUCCGUAGCUGGUCUGAGAGGAUGACCAGCCACACUGGAACUGAGACACGGUCCAGACUCCUACGGGAGGCAGCAGGUGGGGAAUAUUGCACAAGUGGGCGCAAGCCUGAUGCAGCCAUGCCGCGUGUGUGAAGAAGGCCGUUAGGGUUGUAAAGCUACUUUCAGCAGUGAGGAAAGGGGUGUCGUUAAUAGCGCCAUCCUGUGACGUUAACUGCAGAAGAAGGACCGGCUAACUCCGUG